rnacentral:rRNA from 1 species
CCUACGGGAGGCAGCAGUGGGGAAUAUUGCACAAUGGGCGCAAGCCUGAUGCAGCCAUGCCGCGUGUGUGAAGAAGGCCUUCGGGUUGUAAAGCACUUUCAGCGGGGAGGAAGGCGGUGAGGUUAAUAACCUCAUCGAUUGACGUUACCCGCAGAAGAAGCACCGGCUAACUCCGUGCCAGCAGCCGCGGUAAUACGGAGGGUGCAAGCGUUAAUCGGAAUUACUGGGCGUAAAGCGCACGCAGGCGGUCUGUCAAGUCGGAUGUGAAAUCCCCGGGCUCAACCUGGGAACUGCAUUCGAAACUGUCAGGCUAGAGUCUUGUAGAGGGGGGUAGAAUUCCAGGUGUAGCGGUGAAAUGCGUAGAGAUCUGGAGGAAUACCGGUGGCGAAGGCGGCCCCCUGGACAAAGACUGACGCUCAGGUGCGAAAGCGUGGGGAGCAAACAGGAUUAGAUACCCUAGUAGUC